rnacentral:rRNA from 1 species
GUCUAUGGCCAUACCACCCUGAAUGCCCCCCAAUCUCAUCUGAUCUGAGAAGCUGAAUUGUGUUGGGCCUGGUUAAUACUUGGAUGGGAGAAAACAGCCAGUGAACU